rnacentral:rRNA from 1 species
AUACGGAGGAUCCGAGCGUUAUCCGGAUUUAUUGGGUUUAAAGGGUGCGCAGGCGGCCAUUUAAGUCAGCGGUUAAAUCGUGGGGCUCAACCCCAUUCUGCCGUUGAUACUGGGUGGCUUGAUUGCGGUCGAGGUUGGCGGAAUUCGUUGUGUAGCGGUGAAAUGCAUAGAUAUGACGAAGAACACCGAUUGCGUAGGCAGCUGACCAGACCGCAAAUGACGCUCAUGCACGAAAGUGCGGGGAUCGAACAGGAUUAGAUACCCUGGUAGUCCGCACAGUAAACGAUGAAUACUUGUUUUCGGCGAUAUAAUGUCGGAGGCAAAGCGAAAGCGAUAAGUAUUCCACCUGGGGUGUACGCCGGCAACGGUGAAACUCAAAUGAAUUGGCGGGG